rnacentral:rRNA from 1 species
UGGGGAAUAUUGCACAAUGGGCGCAAGCCUGAUGCAGCCAUGCCGCGUGUAUGAAGAAGGCCUUCGGGUUGUAAAGUACUUUCAGUCGGGAGGAAGGUAGUAAGGUUAAUAACCUUAUCAAUUGACGUUACCGACAGAAGAAGCACCGGCUAACUCCGUGCCAGCAGCCGCGGUAAUACGGAGGGUGCAAGCGUUAAUCGGAAUUACUGGGCGUAAAGCGCACGCAGGCGGUUGAUUGAGUCAGAUGUGAAAUCCCCGGGCUUAACCCGGGAAUUGCAUCUGAUACUGGUCAGCUAGAGUCUUGUAGAGGGGGGUAGAAUUCCAUGUGUAGCGGUGAAAUGCGUAGAGAUGUGGAGGAAUACCGGUGGCGAAGGCGGCCCCCUGGACAAAGACUGACGCUCAGGUGCGAAAGCGUGGGGAGCAAACAGG